rnacentral:rRNA from 1 species
CAGCCGCCACGGUAAUACAGAGGCCUCAAGCGUUGUUCGGAUUCAUUGGGCGUAAAGGGUGCGUAGGUGGCUUGGUAAGUUGAAGGUGAAAUCUCGGGGCUUAACCCCGAAACUGCCUUCAAUACUGCUAGGCUCGAGGACUGUAGAGGAGAAUGGAAUUCACGGUGUAGCAGUGAAAUGCGUAGAUAUCGUGAGGAAGACCAGUGGCGAAGGCGAUUCUCUGGGCAGUUCCUGACACUGAGGCACGAAGGCCAGGGGAGCAAACGGGAUUAGAUACCCCUGUAGUCCCUGUCUCUUAUAC